GAACGGGUGAGUAACACGUGGGCAACCUGCCCAAAAGAGGGGGAUUACACUUGGAAACAGGUGCUAAUACCGCAUAACCAUAGUUACCGCAUGGUAACUAUGUAAAAGGUGGCUAUGCUACCGCUUUUGGAUGGGCCCGCGGCGCAUUAGCUAGUUGGUGGGGUAAAGGCUUACCAAGGCAAUGAUGCGUAGCCGAACUGAGAGGUUGAUCGGCCACAUUGGGACUGAGACACGGCCCAAACUCCUACGGGAGGCAGCAGUAGGGAAUCUUCCACAAUGGGCGAAAGCCUGAUGGAGCAACGCCGCGUGGGUGAAGAAGGUCUUCGGAUCGUAAAACCCUGUUGUUAGAGAAGAAAGUGCGUGAGAGUAACUGUUCACGUUUCGACGGUAUCUAACCAGAAAGCCACGGCUAACUACGUGCCAGCAGCCGCGGUAAUACGUAGGUGGCAAGCGUUAUCCGGAUUUAUUGGGCGUAAAGGGAACGCAGGCGGUCUUUUAAGUCUGAUGUGAAAGCCUUCGGCUUAACCGGAGUAGUGCAUUGGAAACUGGGAGACUUGAGUGCAGAAGAGGAGAGUGGAACUCCAUGUGUAGCGGUGAAAUGCGUAGAUAUAUGGAAGAACACCAGUGGCGAAAGCGGCUCUCUGGUCUGUAACUGACGCUGAGGUUCGAAAGCGUGGGUAGCAAACAGGAUUAGAUACCCUGGUAGUCCACGCCGUAAACGAUGAAUGCUAAGUGUUGGAGGGUUUCCGCCCUUCAGUGCUGCAGCUAACGCAAUAAGCAUUCCGCCUGGGGAGUACGACCGCAAGGUUGAAACUCAAAGGAAUUGACGGGGGCCCGCACAAGCG
rnacentral:rRNA from 1 species